AGAAAUUCGAUUCCGUAAGUAGCGGCGAGCGAACGCGGAUUAGCCCAAACCAAUAAAGUUUUCUUUAUUGGGGUUGCGGACAUAUCAUAACGAAGAGGUAUCGUAAUUGAAGAGGUUUGGAAAGACCCACCACAGAAGGUAAUAGUCCUGUAUGUUAAACGAGAAGACUUUAGAUAUGAUCCAGAGUACCACGGGACACGUGAAACCCUGUGGGAAGCAGGAGGGACCACCCUCCAAGGCUAAAUACUACCUAGUGACCGAUAGCGUAUAGUACCGUGAGGGCAUGUGUAACAGAGUCCCGGGAGGGGAGUGACAAAGAACCUGAAACACUGCACUUACGAGCUGUGGAAGCACAUUUCUUGUGUGACCGCGUACUUUUUGUAGAACGGGCCAACGAGUUACGUUAAGUAGCAAG
rnacentral:rRNA from 1 species